ensembl:misc_RNA Metazoa_SRP Metazoan signal recognition particle RNA
CGGGCGCGGUGGCAUGUGCCUGUAGUCCCAGCUACUCAGGAGACUGAGGUGGGAGGAUUGCUUGAGCCCAGGAGUUCUGGGCUGUAGUGUGCUAUGUGGAUUGGGUGUCCACGCUAAGUUCAGCAUCAAUAUGGUAGACCUCCAGGGAGUGGGGGACCACCAGGUUACCUACAGAGGGGUGAACCAGCCCAGGUCAGAAACGGAGCAGGUCAAAAUUCCCGUGCUGAUCAGUAGUGGGAUCACACCUGUGAAUAGCCACUGCACUGCAGCCUGGGCCUGGGCAACAUAGCGAGACCUAGUCUCUU